rnacentral:lncRNA from 1 species
UUCCCCUUUCUCUCUCCUCCCCCCCGAGCUCUCUCUUCCUCCGGUUCGGCGAUUUUCCUUCCUCUUCCGAUUGCCGGCGAUUCCGGCCACCCCAAGGCGUGCCACCGGUCAUCCCAGGAUCGCCUCCUCCCUCUGAGCACCCCUGCAUCCUUGGUUUUCCACGAUUUGGCCGGAAAACCACGGAUCGAAGCAAAACCUCCUCCGGCUGCAGUUUUGGACUUUUGCCGAUUUCCGGCGAUUCCGGCCACCUCCGGUCCCCAUCUCUUCAUCGAAGUUAUGAAGACGAGAGGAGGAUUUCCUCGAGGAGGAUUUGGAUCGACGGCAAGCUUAGCCGUACUUUAUCACAGUGCUGCGGACCGGCAUAGGAGCGGAGGCUAGUACCACCUUUGUCAUCCAUUCUCAGU